rnacentral:rRNA from 1 species
UACAGAGGGUGCAAGCGUUAAUCGGAGUUACUGGGCGUAAAGGGCGCGUAGGCGCCUCUUAAGUCGAACGUGAAAUCCCCGGGCUCAACCCGGGAACUGCGUCCGAUACUGGGAGGCUUGAAUCCGGGAGAGGGAUGUGGAAUUCCAGGUGUAGCGGUGAAAUGCGUAGAUAUCUGGAGGAACACCGGUGGCGAAGGCGGCAUCCUGGACCGGUAUUGACGCUGAGACGCGAAAGCGUGGGGAGCAAAC